rnacentral:lncRNA from 1 species
UCGGGGCAGCGGCAGCGGAGCAGCAACAUCUUCGGGACCCCGGCUACAGCGUCCGUGUGGCCCGCGGGCCAACCGAGCAGCGGGAGACCACGCGCCCCGCGGGAGAGACCCUUCAAGAACUGCUCAGUCCAGAAGAGGUGGGAUUAUUGGAAGCAUCGAUGCUUUACCCUGAGGUGAGUGCAGAAGUUUUCAUUAAAAGGCAAACAGCUGAUUCCUACUUUUGGUCUUGAGGUGUUUGAAAAUUCAUGAAACUGUGGUGUAAAAUUAGGCCAUAUUAUUGUAAGUAUUAAGGAUCCUCCAAAUUGGUUUAUAGCUUUGUAGUAGUUCAUGCUUUAUACCUUUCAUGUGAGGUAUGUGCAGAAAUAAUUCCUAGGCAGAUAUUAUCCUUAUGUUUGAAGUUGGCUGAUAGGUAGAAACAGUGGGAAUUGCAAAGCACCAAUCUGGUCAUUUUGGGUUAAAAUAUUGUGAGCAAAGAUUCUCUCUCGUGGUGCUUCUCAGCCUUUUUCUUGUCGUGUGCACAUAGAAAAUGGUAAUAUUUCUAUGAUAUACCGCCGAGGCUGCUCACUCGCAGAGAUGGCUGGCACUGGUAAUCAGCUCCAGAGCAGCCAGUAGGAUCUCAUCUUAGUACAUCUGAAAACCAAUGUUUGGAAGAGCUUUGUGGGAGAGCAACAGAUGCUUUCCUUUUGGAAAAUCCUGAAGUAUCCCCUGCUUUUUAUGCAUCCAUGUGAUUGUAGUCUGGGUUUAGAGAAGCUUUUCUUAGAGGAAAAAAAAUGAUCCUUUGGGUUCUAAUUUUUCACUUGAAGUUAAUUUUAUCUAAAGUUCAACCAGUAUCCCUGAUUUUAAAAUAUUUUCCUUCCCCCUCUAUCUGCACAAUGGCAAAGAAGCCCUCCCCAGAGGACCCCCCCCCCCGCCCCCCGCCAGGGACAUGUCAGUUCUGUCAGGAUUCAUUGUCCUGGGGCUCUGGGCAAGUUCACAGAGGAUAAAAAUCUAGCUCAAGGGUCAGGAGGACAUCCCCUAGUCUGGGGUCAUUGUAGAGUUUAGGCCUCACUUCAGAAUUAGGUCUAGUCUGAGUAAGAUUUAGUUACCUCAGUAGUCAUCUCAAAAAUGCUGAGGGGUUCAGCAGAUUUGGGUCCUGUUUCAAAGCCAGACUGAAUAUCACAGAAUUGUAGACUUCAGCUAAUGGGGCUUGGAUGCUUUGGUGUGUCAUCUGUGUCUCAUUUAGUUACCAUCCCACGUACUGCCAUAGUUACCACCUCAAGGAUAAGAGGUAACAACUGGGAUGACAGUGGUGUCAUCAUGAAAGACUGGCACAGAUACCCUUUGGUCUCAGUUCUAGAAGCUGUCUUAUCUUACCAGAAUUUUAUCUUGUUUUGGUUUGAUUUUAUAACCUCUGUGUCUUAAAUUUUGCUUUAAAAAAAUAUAAUCGAAAGAUUUUUUUUUUUUAGAGCAGUUUAAGUUUUUUUUUGUUUGGUUUUUUUUUGUUUGGUUUUUUUUUUUUUUUUUUUUUUUAAGAUAGUAUACUACUUUAUUCCAGAUAUACCAAGGACAUAGGCUCACUAAUCUAGACAUGCAGUUAAUUCAAACAAAACCAAAAUUUGGCCUAAGCAUUCAUGUUAUUAAAUACCACAUUUCCUAAACUGUAUAAUUGGUAUAAUUCUUUCUCCCUAAAAAUGCUACAAUAAAUAAAGGAAGAAUGAUUUCUUAGCUAACACUGACAGUGCAUCCUUUUCCUGUAAUGUCACUUACAUGAGAUCUUAUAAAAAUCUGAGAUAGCUGAAUUUAGGGGUGUUGGAGUUCAUACAAAUCAUAAAGAGGGGAAAUCCUUUAAUCCUUGGCUCUCCUCAGAGUCUGUAUUUUCAUUCAAGGGAAAAUGGAACUGAAAAGAUGUAACAAAGGCCAUCUCUAGAUCUCUGGAAGCAAAGUGGGUCUUUCUCAGUAGUUUUCCAAUAUUUGAACUUGUUUUUGAUCGUACUCCAUUUUCCUUUUUUGUGGAAUUCUCCACUGGAUAUGGUGCCCACGUCCUACUGAGAAUGCAAUCAGAUCCUCCUCUCUUCACCUUCCCGUUUCAGUCGGGCACAGCCCAACAGAGCAGUUUAAGGUUUACAGAAAAAUUAAUUGAAAACUGCAGUGAGUUACUACAUACUCUCCCCCCAAAGCACCCUUAAUUUCCUUUGUAUCUGUGCAGUACAUUUUUUACAACUGAUGGACCAGUAUUGAUAUAUUUUUCAUUAACUAAAGUGCAUUAUGUCAUAGUUCAUUCUUUGUAUUGUACAUUCUUUGGGUUUUGAAAAAUGAAUGACAACAUAUUUCCAUCAUUACUAUAUCCUGAAGAAUAUUUUCACUGCCCUAAAAAGUCCAUGUGCUCCCUUCAUUUGCCCUUCCCUCGCCUUGCUGAAACCCUCCCAACCCUGGUUCCUUUUACGGCUUCCAUUGUUUGCUUUUUCAGGAAUGUCACAUAGUGGGAGUCAUACAGCAGAUAGCAUUUUCAGAUUGGCUUCUUUCACUUAGUAAUAGCUUUGAAGGUUCUUCCAUGUCUUUUUGUACCUGGACAGCUCAUUGCCUUUUAUUGUUGACUAAUAAUUGAUCAUACAGAUGUACCACAGUUUGUUUUUCCAUUCCCUUAUUGCUGAACAUUUUGGUUACUUCCAGGUUUGACAGUUAGGAAAAAGCUGCUAGAACCGUUUCUCUGCAGACUUUUGAGUGGACAUUUUUUAGUUCAUUUGGGUGUAUACCAAGGAGUGCCAUUAAUAGAUUGUAUGGUCUGAGCAUGUUUAGUUUGUAAAAAACCUCCACACUGUAUUCCAAAGUGGCUGUAUCAUUUUGCAUUCCCAGGGAAUGACAGUUCCUGUUCCUCCACAUCCUUAAUAGCAUUUGGUGUUGUCAGUGUUUGCAAUUUUAGCCAUUUUGGUAGAUGUGUAGUGUUUUGUGCCUUAGGUUUUUAAUAGUAUUAAAAAAAAGAGUGUGAUUACCCAGAAGACUCUUGAUACUUAGAUCCUAGAAAUUUUUUCAUCAUUUACAUGGUGAUGACAUUGAUUAAGAAUCUUAGAUUGGAGUUCCUGGCAUGGUACAGUGAAAAUGAAUCCGACUAGGAACCAUGAGGUUGCGGAUUUGAUCCCUGGCCUCGCUCAGUGGGUUAAGGAUCCCAUGUUGCCGUGAGCUGUGGUGUAGGUUGCAGACAUGGCUCGGAUCUGGCAUUGCUGUGGCUGUGGUGUAGGCCGGCAUCUACAGCUCUGAUUAGACCCCUAGCCUGGGGACCUCCAUAUGCCACAGGUGCAGCCCUAAAAAAAAAAAAAAAAAAAAAAAAAAAAGGAAUCUGAGAUUUCCUCUGGUACAUCCACUGUAGUAAUGUAUUGUGUAGUAAUGUAUUUUUAUAAGUGUGUAUGUAAAUCUAAGAGUAUAUGUAUGUAUGUUUGUGAAUACAUGCUAUUCUCUAUAUAGAAUAUGAUAGAAAGAAUAUUAUAGAAAGAGGUUAUUAUAGGUAAAGAUUUAUCCAAUAAUACAUCAUCAAAAUGAAAAUAUGAAGAGUUUAUCAAUGGUAAUUUUAUUUGUUUCUAAAAUUGAAAUAUGAGUUUCUACAGAUCCUUGUGUUAAAAUAGGCCAUGCUUAGUGUUAUUUAUAACUAGUUUUCUGACAUAAAUAAGUGUUUCUAUAAGCCACAUCUAUUUAGGCAUUCUUAAUUUUUGUCUGUGGUUAAAUUCAACUAUGCAGAUAUAGCCACAGGAUUCUUCAAGGUCUUUUCACGUUCUAGUAAUUUUCUAGCAAAGCAAGUACGUAUUCCUGCUUUAGAUUUGAUGUACUACUGUACUACUUUGUAAAUAUUUCUGAUGAGAUAAACUUCCAUACCAGAAUGUUACUUUCUCUAGUGUAAGUACUAUUCCCUUGAUAUUUUUGUCUUUAAAGCAUGGCACAGUGCCUAUGAUAAAGAAAAAAAUUUAAAUGACACUUGUUAAAGACAGUAAGGCUUUAUUCACGAGGGACUGCUACAGUGGCAUUUUGCAGCAGGAAAGAGAAAUAGGGAUCAUGUCCACAUACAACAAGGACAAGUGGAGAUUUAUACCCAGGGGACAAAGUGGGGAGCAAUGGUUGGAUGGAAAACUACCAAGGGUAGGGGAAUUCUUGCCAGACUGUCUCAACAGGAUGCUUGCUGAAGGCAGGCCAGCUAGGUAAGAUAUGGAGAGUGGGGGGUGAGGAUAUUUGAUCUAAUAUCAAAGAUAAUUCAAUGCCAAGGAAAGAGGAUGUUGACUAAACUAACUCAACAGAAUUCUUACUAAAACUGAAUUACGCAGGCCAAGGAGAGAACUCAAGGUCAGAGCCUAGUUGAGAAGAGGAGUCAGAGGAUCCUGACCCAGAUUUAGUCAAGGAGAGAGUCUUUUUCACCUGACAUAUGGUAAAAUUUCAGUGAGUCAGUAUUGUGUUAUGUAGAUACCGUUACUUCAGAUACUGUAGAAAUUUGAUAACAAAGUCCUACAGAUACCAAGGAAGCAUUGUAAUUUAAGGAAAAUAUAGAAAAAUAAAUUUAAAUUGUACAAAUAAUUUUGUGUAAUGUUGAAGACUAACCUACUUAACAGAGCACAGAUCUGUUAAAAAAUUAAACAAUUCACAUACAUGAGCAGUUUUAUGUGCAAAAUAGUAUCUCAACAGUGACAGAAAUGUGAAGAUAAAAUAGACAUGUUCUCCAAUUUCUAAAAAAGAUGAACUCUAGUGGAGAAGGGUUUGGGGGAGGGAAAGAGAACUAUGUUGUAUUAGUGAUCACAGAAUAAAGAUAUAUACAAACAGUAUGGAUUUCCUGCUGUCAUGCCGUGAGUUAAGAAUCCAACUGCAGUGGCUCCAGUCGCUGUGGAGGCGCAGGUUUGAUCCCUGGCCCAGUGCAAUGGGUUAAAGGAUCCACAUUGCUGCUCCACUGUGUGGAUUGCAGCCGUGGCUUGAAUUCAGUCCCUGGCCUGGGAACUUCUAUGUGCUAUGAGUGUGGCCAUUAAAAAAAAAAAUAAAAAAAGUAAAAA